GGAAGUCCAGAAAAAAACUUUUUUUAAAUUAAAAAUUGAAGUUUUUUUAAUUUGUGCAGAAACAAUUAUUUAUAUUAAAGACAAGAAGACCCUAUGAAUUUAUUAAAUUUUUAUUUAAUAUGUAAUUACUAUUAGAAAAAUUUUGGCUGGGGCGGCUAGAAAAUAUUAUAAACUUUUUAAAAAUAAAAUGAUCCAUUAUUAAUGAUUUUAUGUUAAAUACUCUAGGGAUAACAGCGUUAUAUUUUUUGAUAGAUCAUAUUGACAAAAAAGUUUGCGACCUCGAUGUUGGAUUAGGAUACUU
rnacentral:rRNA from 1 species